rnacentral:pre_miRNA from 1 species
UUGACAGAAGAGAGUGAGCACACAGAGACACUCGUUAUAACUCUAUACCGUUGUAUUUGUGUGCUCACUCAUCUUUCUGUCAA